rnacentral:rRNA from 1 species
UACGUAGGGUGCAAGCGUUAAUCGGAAUUACUGGGCGUAAAGCGUGCGCAGGCGGUGAUGUAAGACAGGUGUGAAAUCCCCGGGCUCAACCUGGGAACUGCAUCUGUGACUGCAUUGCUGGAGUGCGGCAGAGGGGGAUGGAAUUCCGCGUGUAGCAGUGAAAUGCGUAGAUAUGCGGAGGAACACCGAUGGCGAAGGCAAUCCCCUGGGCCUGCACUGACGCUCAUGCAUGAAAGCGUGGGGAGCAAACAGG